GAGUUUGAUCCUGGCUCAGAUCGAACGCUGGCGGCAUGCUUUACACAUGCAAGUCGGGCGGCAGCGCGGGGGCAACCCUGGCGGCGAGCGGCGAACGGGUGAGGAAUGCAUCGGAACGUACCCGAGAGUGGGGGAUAACGCCGCGAAAGCGGCGCUAAUACCGCAUAUUCUCUUUGGAGGAAAGUGGGGGACCGCAAGGCCUCACGCUCACGGAGCGGCCGAUGUCGGAUUAGCUAGUUGGUGGGGUAAAGGCUUACCAAGGCGACGAUCCGUAGCUGGUCUGAGAGGAUGAUCAGCCACACUGGGACUGAGACACGGCCCAGACUCCUACGGGAGGCAGCAGUGGGGAAUUUUGGACAAUGGGGGCAACCCUGAUCCAGCCAUGCCGCGUGCGGGAAGAAGGCCUCGGUUGUAACGCUUUA
rnacentral:rRNA from 1 species